rnacentral:lncRNA from 1 species
CAGAACCUUUAUUAAGUCAUUCAACACCAGUCAUUUACAACCUCCUGGCUCCCAAGGUUCCAGAACUUCUCACCAGGACCGGCUGAGCGCUCCUGGCCAGGAACGCCCCUUUCAGCAUUAUUAAUUUGGUGCAUUUGAGAUGCAUUGAUCAUGAUCAAAAGGGGGUAGAAGCGGGGCUGGCCUGGUGGCAUAGUGAAAGUUCUGCUGUGUCCUCAACACUCCCGCCCUCUGGCCCUGGCCUGCCAGCAUCACUAUCCUCUUUGCCAGCAAGAUCUGCCUGGCUUGCCAUGAAAAGCACCAGAGUCAUACAGUCUGCCCCAUAGGGACAGUUCCACCUCUCCUGGGACCAGGUCACACCCACGGUUCUCGAUGUUUAACCAAAGGAUCAUCACCUCGCAGGAUGGAGACACCUGACUCUGGGGAAGUCCGCAUCUGGCUCACAGCCCAAGGCAGCAAGUGUCAGCUUUCAGUGUACUUCCUCGGCUUGGUCCCCUGUCCAGUUUUUCACAGUGAUACUUCAUACUUUGUUGCGAUGGACUGGGAAGUUUCCUUGCUUCAUUAAAACAUGGUGCAUUUUCUCUAUUCUCCUUUUUGUGAUGUUCUCAGGAGCUUGGGAAAGGGGAAUGGCAACACUCCACAAUGUGGAAUACAAAGUCUCUCUAUACACUUUUUUCCUCUUUGUUCAUUGUGUCUAUAUAU